rnacentral:misc_RNA from 1 species
CCAGUGGGUUAAAAGUUCCCCUACGUAAGUAUUUUGAUAUUUUUGGAUAUCAGUGCCUGUCCUGUAGUGUUGGAUUCAAGGGUUCAAUGGUACAAAAGCAUUUUGAUACAUUUGAAUAAUUGAAUCAAUUCCUCUCAAUCUUGGUUGUGUAAUCUCUUUACUACCCUAUGUUCUAGAAUGAACCAGUGUCUUGCUGUCAUGCUAUUGAUAAUAGGAUUUCAAAUCAAAGCAUCCCAUCCUAAAUGUUAUGUAAUCAAGCAAGCAAUUUUUAAUUUUCUAUGGCCCUGUUUGGGGUUGAGGUCAGAAGGUCAACAAAAUGCUUUUUGAAAAAGCGCUUUUUGUGAAAGUGCCAUUUUAAAUGCUGUUCCAGAAAAUCAAUUUUUAAUACCCUUGAACUAACAUAUUUAAGGUAGUAUUUUUCUCAAUAGCAAGUCCAACCACAAUAACAAAUAGAUCCUAUAUCCCAACCUAUAUAUGCUUGUCUGUAUGGAUCUGCACAUUCUUUUGCAGCUGAGAGUUUGAUAUAAUCAUGAACUAGCAUAUAAAUCUUAAGUAACUGGCAAUUUUGUUGUAGCAGGAUGUUUAUAUUUGCUUUAGUUGCCAAUGUGCCCUAUGUUUGCUUCAUAACUUCAACUUAUAUAACUGUUGUUUUGGAGAUUUUUGGAUGUUCCCUUUGGGCUACUUAUGGAGUUGUAAUUGUGGCUCCUUAAUGCUCUUCCGGUUCAUAUCCCUUGGUUUUUUGACCCUUUCCCUCUCAUCAUUCUACAAGUGUACUACUGAUUUUAUCUGAAGGUAGUGGGAGAGUUUGGUUCAGAAACCAGUCAUGUGGUGUUUACAAUUUAUAUCAUAGACAUCUCUGAUGUUUUCACUUGGAAUGCCAUAUGUUUUUGCAUGUACAACUAUUUUAGCUAUUUGGCAUUGUUGUUUAAGCGCUAAAUGCUAAUUGACAUCUCAGAAAUCCCACUCUCUUUCUGUGUUAUUGGUAUUCCAUUGCAGUAUUUAGGCUCAUGUCUUAUGAGGUGUUGCAGUUUUGGAGUUCUAUUAUUUUAUGGCAGUGACUUACUCUUUUCACAUAUGCUUCCAUUAAAAUAAUUUGGAUAUCUAAUAAUGCCUUAUGGUAAAUUUUCAAAGAUGUUUGUAAAGUUAUUAUUAAAGUUCUUGCUAAGAAAUUAUUAUUUAUGUUUCUUUUUAAUAUCUGCAGCUGGUUCUUUCCAGAGGUUCUUUA